GGAAAGGUGCUGGAUGUGACAUCUGUCACUGCACUGAUUGCCCAGGUUGAUUUGGCGGAUCUGGCUGGCUCGGUGGGUGUCCCUUUCUCCCUCACCACUCCAUGUGUGACCCUCCUGAAGCUGUGCACUUGGUCAAAGAGGAUGGCCAUUUCCCCACUCCCAAAAGAAGGGGACCACUUCCUAGGACAGGGGUAUAUAAGUAGCUGUGCUCCCCUACUAGAACCCCCAAACAACUCUUACAAGGAAAGAUGCUUUCCUGUAUCUCAGUCUCUGCAGCCAGAGCAAAGUGCAGAACAAGGGGGGCCCAGGUCUCAGGUGCUCCCCAGACCUAGGUCUUUCUCU
ensembl:misc_RNA 7SK 7SK RNA